rnacentral:rRNA from 1 species
UACGUAGGGCGCAAGCGUUAUCCGGAAUUAUUGGGCGUAAAGAGCUCGUAGGCGGUUUGUCGCGUCUGCCGUGAAAGUCCGGGGCUCAACUCCGGAUCUGCGGUGGGUACGGGCAGACUAGAGUGAUGUAGGGGAGACUGGAAUUCCUGGUGUAGCGGUGAAAUGCGCAGAUAUCAGGAGGAACACCGAUGGCGAAGGCAGGUCUCUGGGCAUUAACUGACGCUGAGGAGCGAAAGCAUUGGGAGCGAACAGG